UACGUAGGGUGCGAGCGUUGUCCGGAUUUAUUGGGCGUAAAGGGCUCGUAGGCGGCGUGUCGCGUCGGGAGUGAAAGACCGGGGCUUAACCCCCGGUUCUGCUUCCGGUACGGGCAUGCUGGAGUGUGGCAGGGGAGACUGGAAUUCCUGGUGUAGCGGUGAAAUGCGUAGAUAUCGUCUGGAACGCCGAAGGUGAAAACAGCUCGCUGGGGCUGCGCUGACGCUGAGACACGGAAAGCCAGGGGAGCGAACGGGG
rnacentral:rRNA from 1 species